UUUGUGCUUAAUUUAAAGUAUACUUAACAUAUACUUUUAAAAAGUGUACUUCGCAAUAAAUGUCAUUAAAUUCAACUUUAACGUACUUAAAAAUAAGUAUACUAAUUCUGCAAUACUUAAAGCGGUAUUGCUUUGUACUUUUAAAAAAGUAUACUUUAUUUUAAGUUUAUUUAAAUUGUACAUAAGUGUACUUAGAAAAAGUAUACUAAAUUGCAAAUACUUAUAGUGGUAAUUUAGUGUAUUUAUAAAAAGUGUACUUUAUUGUAAGUGUAUUGUAAUUUGUACCUUAGUGUACUUCUGAAAAGUACACUCAUUUUCAAGUAUUUUGGAAUUCACUAUUAAAAUACUUUUUUUAAAGUGUAAUUUAAUUUCACUUCAUUAGAAGUGUAUUGAAGUAUACUUCCGUAAAGUUCACUUUAAUUUAAGUUAAUUUUAAGCUGUAUUUCAGUAUACUUAGCAAAAGUAUACUAAGUUUCAAAUACUUAAAGUGGUAUUUUAGUGUACUUCUGAAAAGUACACUUUGUUUCAAGUCCUUUGUAAUACACUAUUAAAAUGCUUUUUUAGAGUGUAAUUUAAUUUCACUUCAUUAGAAGUGUAUUUAAGUGUACUUCCAUGAAGUGCACUUUAAUGCAAAUACUUUUUAAGCUGUAUUUCAGUGUACUUAGAAAAAGUAUACUAAGUUGCACAUACUUAAAGUGGUACUUUAGUGUACUUCUGAAAAGUACACUUCAUUUCAAGUCCUUUGUAAUACACUAUUAAAAUGCUUUAUCAAAGUAUACUUAAAUUUCCCUUUAUUAGUAGUGUAUUUAAGUAUACUUCCUUACAGUUCACUUUAAUGCAAGUUAAUUUUAAGCUGUAUUUCAGUGCACUUAGAAAAAGUAUACUAAAUUGCAAAAACUUAUAGUUGUCAUUCAGUGUGAUUCUGAAAAGUACACUUAGUAAUACACUAUUAACAUGCUUCAUUUUUAGUAUACUUUAAUUUCACUUCAUUAGAAGUUUAUUUAAGUAUAUUCAUACAUCAUCACAACCAAAGUGUUGAAUUAAUCAAAAAAAUACAGAUAAAUAAUACUGAAAUGGCUACUUUUACUAGCUCCAACGACUAACUAUUAAAGAAAAUCCAAGGCUAUAACCAAAAUUUGAAAAUAGCAAGUUUAUAACGGCCAUCCAAUCAGUGUGCGGCUGCAAAUCGACGUCCAAUGAGAAUGUAGUAUUUAGGUCGCCAAUUGGUGGUUUACUCAAAUACACUUGGCGCGGACGGUUAGUGUUCCAUUUGAAAUUGAGCAGUGAGCACCUAAUAUCUCCGGGUCAAACAAUGACAGUGUUUGGUUUGUUUUAUUUCCAAGACGGCUCCGUUAGAGCAGAUAAUACAUCCGUCAUACGUGAUGCAUACAGAAAUAAAAAAAAUAACGGUUAACUGCAGGGAAGACCUCGAGUCGGAGCAGGGCUGGAUAGAGGUAAUUUGGCCUACACAACGGCGACAACAAGAGGCGAAGCCUAUUGCAGCCAAAUUGCUUUUCUUUGGAGACACGGUGAGGGAGAAAUUCCCCAACACCAUGGUUAGUGAGAUCCGGGCCCUGCUGCGGAGGAAAUGCAAUAAUGAGGGCUACACCAAGGUUGCUCCUCAGUAGCUUUAUUAUAUAUGUUAUAUAUGUCAGAUGUUUUAAAGUUAGGUGUUAUUGAAUGUAUGUUUGUAUUAAUAUUUAAAUUAAAGUUUUGGUUUGUACAAUUUAAGUGUUUUUUGUCAUGGAACAAAAUAGCACCCAUGGAGUGUACUAAAAUGGUACCAGAAAGAAGUGCAUGUGAAGUAUAAUAUGUAUUGUAAGUAUAUUUCUGUAGUAUUUAUAAAGUACUUAGUAGUAUAACAGUAUUGUACUUAAAAUACCCUUAAUAUACGCUUCCACUUUACAUUAUAGUAUAAUAACUAUACUUUAAGUACAUGCCUUUGAUGCUUAAAUUGUGACACAAAUUGACUAUAAAUACAUAAUAAAUGCAUUUUUAGUUACAUAAUUGCACACUUUAAAAGUACUAAAUAUAGUCAGAAAGUGUACUUGAAUUUAAUUAGAAAUAUGACAGAGGAAUGAUAAUAGUGUGUUAAAAAUACACUUCUAUUAUGUAGUAUAAGCAGUGAUAAAAUACACUCAAUAUACACUUCUGCUCCUCUUUAGAGUAUAAUAACAUUGUACUUAAAGUGCAUGCCUUUGAUGCUGCAAUUGUGAUAGAAAUGUACUAUAAAUACAUUUUAAUUAACAUAAUGGCAGACUUAAAAAGUACUAAAUAUAGUCAGAAAGUGUAUUUGAAUUUAAUUUGAAAUAUGACAGAAGUAUGAUAAUAGUGUGUUCAAAAUAUACUUAUAUACUACUAUCAAUUGAACCAUACUGCCUUUUUAAGUAUAUUUCAAACACACUGGUAAUAUAAUGCUAUUGUACUGCAAGAGUGUUUCAAAUGCUAGAAAUCAUACUUUUCACUAGUGUACUUCAGUACACUUAAAGGUUGUAUAGGUGAUUUGCUUUUUUGGCCAUUUUUGCAAAAUUACUUGAAAUCCUUAUCAUAACCCGCUUACAGCCACUGAGUUAGAAGUACUGACAUGAAAAUUAAACAAGUCAAUCAUCUGUGGAACGGGCAGGGCUCGAAAAACUCCAGCCAAUCAUUUCCAUUGCCACCGAGUUGCAUUGGACAUGCAGUACGACCGUUUGAUUGACGUACUUACUGUCCAAUGCAACUCGGUGGCAAUGGAAAUGAUUGGCUGGAGUUUUUCGAGCCCUGCCCGUUCCACAGAUGAUUGACUUGUUUAAUUUUCAUGUCAGUACUUCUAACUCAGUGGCUGUAAGCGGGUUAUGAUAAGGAUUUCAAGUAAUUUUGCAAAAAUGGCCAAAAAAAGCGAAUCACCUACCCAACCUUUAACUGUAU
ensembl:lncRNA